rnacentral:rRNA from 1 species
UACGUAGGGUGCGAGCGUUGUCCGGAAUUAUUGGGCGUAAAAGAGCUUGUAGGUGGUUUGUCGCGUCUGCUGUGAAAAUCCGAGGCUCAACCUCGGACUUGCAGUGGGUACGGGCAGACUAGAGUGUGGUAGGGGAGACUGGAAUUCCUGGUGUAGCGGUGGAAUGCGCAGAUAUCAGGAGGAACACCGAUGGCGAAGGCAGGUCUCUGGGCCAUUACUGACACUGAGAAGCGAAAGCAUGGGGAGCGAACAGG